AACGAACGCUGGCGGCAGGCUUAACACAUGCAAGUCGAACGCAUCCUUCGGGAUGAGUGGCAGACGGGUGAGUAACGCGUGGGAACGUGCCCUUUAGUUUGGAAUAACCCAGGGAAACUUGGGCUAAUACCGGAUACGCCCGAAAGGGGAAGAUUUAUCGCUGAAGGAGCGGCCCGCGUCUGAUUAGCUAGUUGGUGAGGUAAUGGCUCACCAAGGCGACGAUCAGUAGCUGGUCGAGAGGAUGAUCAGCCACACUGGGACUGAGACACGGCCCAGACUCCUACGGGAGGCAGCAGUGGGGAAUAUUGGACAAUGGGCGCAAGCCUGAUCCAGCCAUGCCGCGUGAGUGAUGAAGGCCUUAGGGUUGUAAAGCUCUUUCGGCGGGGACGAUAAUGACGGUACCCGCAGAAGAAGCCCCGGCUAACUUCGUGCCAGCCGCCGCCGUAAC
rnacentral:rRNA from 1 species